rnacentral:rRNA from 1 species
AGUGAACGCUGGCGGUAGGCCUAACACAUGCAAGUCGAACGGCAGCACAGUAAGAGCUUGCUCUUACGGGUGGCGAGUGGCGGACGGGUGAGGAAUACAUCGGAAUCUACUUUUUCGUGGGGGAUAACGUAGGGAAACUUACGCUAAUACCGCAUACGACCUACGGGUGAAAGCAGGGGAUCUUCGGACCUUGCGCGAUUGAAUGAGCCGAUGUCGGAUUAGCUAGUUGGCGGGGUAAAGGCCCACCAAGGCGACGAUCCGUAGCUGGUCUGAGAGGAUGAUCAGCCACACUGGAACUUAGACACGGUCCAGACUCCUACGGGAAGCAGCAGUUGGGAAUAUUGGACAAUGGGCGGAAACCUGAUCCAGCCAUACCGCGUGGGUGAAGAAGGCCUUCGGGUUGUAAAGCCCUUUUGUUGGGAAAGAAAAGCAGCAGGUUAAUACCCCGCUGUUCUGACGGUACCCAAAGGAUAAGCACCGGCUAACUUCGUG